rnacentral:tRNA from 1 species
GGAGCGGUAGCUUAGACGGCAAAGCGCCCGGCUGAAGACCGGGAGAGAUGGGUUCGAGCACCAUCUGCUCCA